GACCCAUGAUGAGAGAGGGUAGUAAUUGAGAUGGGACGUUCAGACUGUCAAAGUUAGAGGACAACGUUUGCACCUUAAAACAAAAUAUAUCGAUAAUUAAAGACAAAGAAAGGCCCGAGGCGGUUAGAAUGGGGGAGUGAAGAAAGUGUAGUCUGUGGAGAGAGUUUGUGAUUUUACCUCGUUCUCUAAUUUCUUCAUGGUGUCAUUCUUCACUGCAUUCAUUUCUCCAUGGAUUUCGUCUUUCUGUAAACUGUAUGGGAAUCCCACCUUUUGGCUGAACUUUGAGUAAAUGAACUGCUUCUGCAAAGGGAUAUUCAUGAAGAAAGCACAAGCACAGAGGAACAGCACUGGCUCAACCGUGAGAAAAGUCUUCCAUGUUAGACGUGAAAUCUUCAUGGCUUCCUGGAAUAAUCGAUCCUGAAUAAAGUAAAAUACCAAGAAAACUGUAAAACAAGGUCGACAUCUUUUGAGUAGAAAGGUUGGGGAUUAAGGAUGGGAGACAGCGCCUACGAAUUUUAAGUCCUUAUCCUAGAAGACUUGAAGGUGAAAAACCUAAGCUAGUCAGUCAAGAACAAUAGCCAAUCAACUUGGUCACCAUACGACUCUAUGAUCUAAUGUAUGGUGAAACCAAUGCUACAUUACCUUGUUCGUCUUUGCUGACAAUCCUUGACAUCAUUGCCCUAAAGAUAGGGACCACACAGCCACCAAACAGGCCGACAACUGGAGCUAAAUGCAGGAGAAAAUAGUGAAUAGACCAGCCAGUCUUGGUAACAGUUCUUCAAUAAUACUCACCCGUGAAGACAAGAAAUGUUGUUUUCGAUAGGCCAAAUGUCACCAAGCCCCCUAUACUGGAAACAAUUCCAAUCCUUGAUAUACUAAGUUCAGUCAGCCAUAUCCCAAGAAGUUUAAUCCCAAGUAUGGCUCCAAUUCCAAUACAAAGACUUCUUAACGCUGCAAUAUAUCCAACAAAUUCGGGAGAGAAACACAGUGGAGUAUGAAGAACGAAGAGUGUGACGAUACCAGUGCUUCCUUGGGUGGCGAUUUGCGAAAAAGCACUGCUUAGGGUUAAAAGAAUAAGGUUGAAUCGACCCCCUUCCCUGGGAGCUUUAUAAACAGCCAAAAUUCUUUUGAUGCUUUGGCAACUGCCGAGACUGGUUUUUUCUGUGACGUCACUUGGAGGUCUUGAUUCAGGGAGGAAGAAGACUGUGUAGAGGACAGAGAAUAGAAGACAAGCCAAGAUAAACCAGUAUGGCGUGAUGAAUCCAUGGUUCUCGAUCCAUACGCCACUAGUUAGUUGACUGACCAUCCCUCCCAAAAAUGUCAGGAGCUCCAUGAUGGCUAAAACGAAAAGAAAAAUAAAAUAGUUAUGUUAUCUCUAA